CCUCUCUCCUUGAAUUUUAGAAAACCCUAAUUCUCCUCCUCACUCUCUCUCUCUCUGUUCAAAAUCGAAGAGGUUGAGACUUGCAUUGAGAGAAGCCUUUUUUCCCCUUAGGUUUUUUAAAUCAUCAGUGGCGGAGUGAUCAGUGGCCUCGACAAGGGCGUCACCACCUGCAGCAUAGGCGUCGUGCUCAAAGCUUGUGGCCUUCACGUCACUUCCAUCAAAAUCGAUCUGUACUUGAACAUCGACACUGGCACCAUGUCUCCCUUCAAGCACGGUGAGGUUUUCGUUCUCGACAACGGCGGAGAGGUGGCGCCUUUACCCCUUGCUUUUUAUUUAUCCUUCAACAAUGCCCGUUCCUUGUUACUUCUUGCCAGAAGAGGAUUUGGAUUGGAGCGAGUGUUUUUCACUAUCGAUCUGGUUUCCUUGGAUUUGGAUUGAACUCUAAUAAUGUGGUGUGCGGUGAGAGAUUCCGGUGGCCAUUACUGCCCUAAGAAGACCGAUGAUUUAUGCGGCGAUGUUUGUGGCCAGACAGCCAAAAGAUUUAGUGCCAAUUGCUACCGGCCACGAGUAUGAGGAGAUUCAGGCUGAUCUUGAGCCGUGGCUUGUGGCAUGAAGGAGAUGUGUGAAGAUGAUAAAGGAUACAACUUUUGGCAAAGAUUCUGCUCUUCUAGGUUGGGUUCAUUAUGUUACGAUUACAAUUUCAUGGUCGCAGCUGGUAUCUUUAGAUCUUUGUGGUCAACUUUAUGUUGAUGAAUGUCCAUGAUCGAAAUCGUUGACGCAACACUCUUUCUUGCGGAUAUGGAAGUGUUCACAUGACUCUCUCUUGCGGAUUUGAUAGUUUUCAUGUAACUUUGUCUUCUCCAUUUAGUAGUGAAAGAGAAAAAAAUGGGUGAUAUUUAAGGGAGAGGAGCAUCUUACCUAUAUUCCAGGGAAAAACCAAAAGCCCCAAACUCAUUUGGUGGUUGGAGACGCGGCUGCAGGAGAGGAUCCGCGUCCAGUAUUUGGUAGUUGUGAUAUGAAUUUGAGAAGCCUAGUGUUUGCAGAGUCUGAAAAGCUGAGAUUGGAUCACAUAUAUUAUCUGAUUCUAGGGUUAAAUUUUAAUUCACUCUACUGUCUGACUCUCUCGCUCACGCCUAGCACGUUUUUUUUUUCUCUUGCUCACUCUACUCCGUUCCUUUCCCAAUCGCCACUCAACCAUCACCAUUGCGACUCACGAGGAGACUCAGCCUCCACGACCGACGUUCCCUCGACAUCCUUCAACAAAGUUUUCGGCAUUUGUUUGAGAUCGGCAAGUCCAAUCAAAUGUUGCUUGUCUUGCGCUUUCCAUUCACAAUCUGCAAGCUGGAGCAAUGAGGCUUGGGAGGGAUGUUUUGGUUCUAACACAGACAACUAAUUCCAGAUCACUAGCUUUUCUUUGACAAUCAUUGAAUGAAGGCAAGAUGCUAACUUACUUGCACGAGGAAAUUAAGCCAAAAGUUGUACAUCGAGAUAUUAAAUCAAGCAAUAUUCUAAUUGAUGAUGACUUCAAUGCCAAAAUAUUUGACUUUGGGCUGGCAAAGUUAUUGGGUGUUGGAAAAAGUCAUAUCACAACUCGAGUAAUGGGUACUCUUGGGUUUACUUAUCUAGGUAAUCUAAUCAUGAAUUGCACACUGAGCAUACCAGAUCAAUCUGACAAUUGCUUAUUUGGUGCCAAGGGCUACACUCUCUUCUUAAGGUCAAGUGCUUACUUUGAACCCAGGCUUAACAAAUUUGGAGAUUUUAAUUCAGUUUUUCCAAUUAUCCUUUAUAUUGUGAAUCUGUGUAAGCUUCUGAUGUAGUUGCAGGUUUCUUGUAGGACCUUAGAUGCUUAUACCUGAAAACAUAGAGAAUAAAGAGUUUUGAGAAAAAAUGAAAUGGAGGCCACAAAGCACUUAUUGGCAGGCCGAAAAGAUGAUUACACAUAGGGAAGCGAUCUUUUCCUGCCCCAAAGGAACUUGGUUUGUCAUAGAGUAGGAGGAAAAGCUUGCUGCAAAAGCAUCCAAGGUGCACACUACAAUGGGAAGCCAAAUAUCUAUUCUUAUGAGGGAGCAACUGUAAACGAUCUAAACUGUAUAAAGCUACUACUUAUGGGGUCGGUGGAUGAUCAAAUUGACUUCAUAAUGGGUGAUUUCUUCCUCUUGACACCAAAGUUAAAGGUACUUCAUAAGCUAUCACAAGUUGCACUCCUUCAAACAGAUAGUAGAAAAAGAUAGGUUUAAUUAUAAGAUUGAGGAAAAAUAAAAAAGUACCUAGACGGGUGUAAGGUGGUGCAUGCAAUGAGAUACUAAUUGAGUGACAAUAUUUUAUUUCUAUUUUCUCUAAAACCUUGUGCUUUGGCAGAUUGCUUGAACUUUUGCUUUCUCCUUUGUUUAUGGAAGCAUUAAGCUCAAGUACCUCAAGGUAUUUUAAUGAAUCCCUUGUACAUUUAAAAUGGAUCUACUGUUGAUUA